rnacentral:tRNA from 1 species
AGUACGGUGGUCUAGCGGUUAGAACGCUGGCCUUGUAAUCCUGGAGUCUCGGGUUCGAUUCCCGGCGGUGCCC